AUUGUAUCUACACUGUAAAAAAUUGCUGUAAAAAAACGGGGAAUUUUGGACAGUAAUUUACCGUUUCUCAUAAAUACAGUUGAAUACUGUAAAUAAACAUUAAUAUGACAAACAAAAUAAUAACAGCAAGCUCCUGUUCAGUCUUACGGGAUAAUACAGUAUUUUUUGGUCUGGUCAGGCAUGUCAGACAUGUGACGAGCUCAUCUGCAACCAUGAGUAAAACUGAUUUAACUACACUGUUUUUCUGCAUUUUAUUAUACGAGAAGGAAGCAGAAUUAAGGACUAUCUAUCCAUUUUCACUCCGAUUGUGACCCUACCAGCACUGAGACGGACGACGAAUUCACUUGUUUUUUACUCCUCGCCUGUAUAUCAAGUUGCUGGUGAUGAAGUAACAUUUGGAGGUUGGAUGAUCAGCAGUGAAAACAUCAUCAUCUGUGAAGGCAAGAUGAAGCUGCGAGGACACUGGAGUUUGUUCAAAGAUGCUUAAUUGGUGUGAACCCUAAGAGGGGAACAAAAGCCAGGCAGGUGAAGGUGUCCAAGAAGACAGGAAAGCUUGUCCAGAAAAAUGCAGCAAUGGAGUGCAGAGUGGCCACCCUCAUCAAAAAUUUCAUGGACUUUGAGUGGCUUUCACAUUGUAUUCUGCAGUGUUGUGAUAUUUAUGUGACAUCACAGCAUUAUGUUUUAUUCAGCCCAGUCUCAUUAGUGAGGCAGAAACUGACAUUUAAGAAUGCACUGAAUUUUGUUAUAUUUAAUAAAAACAGUGUUUUAUCAUCAUCCUUUGUUUGAGAAUUUUUUUGCAAGCAAUUUUAAGUGUUUAUUUUAAAAUUACAUUUUAACAAUGCUAGAAAAAUCACAUUCUACAGUAUAAAUAACAGCAGGAACCCUAAAAUAACAGUAUAAUGCAUCCAAACAUCUGACAGUAUUAUACUGUGCAGCUCCCUUUUUUUACAGUACUGUCUCGUAAUAUUUGUACAGUAAAAAACUGUUGUUGUAAAUUACAGUAGGUAAUCUGUAAAAUUACAACUAUAUGCUGGCAAAUCUAGCUGCCAGUAUAUUACUGUAAUUUAACAGUGAAAUUUUUUACAGU